rnacentral:lncRNA from 1 species
ACAGGUUCGGCAGGCAGAUGGCGAAAUAGAAGAGGAUAUUAUGGGAGGGAACGAGGUCCUGUAUAGACCCUGAAUUGAGCGCAGCGUGGGUUUUCAAAAAAUGUUGCUUGUGAAAUAGGAGCUGGGCAGUUGAAAGAGUUAGGAGUGGUUCACAGUUAAGGUAGCGUGUCGGAGCUGGUCUUCUAGUUAUGUGCUCUAGUCACCGCCUGUAGGUCUAGUGGUCUAGUCACCUGCUACUAGACGCACUGAUGUCGACUCAGAUAGCCGCUAAUACGGAACAACUACUUUUGUGCUUUCACACCUGCCCUUGUUUCCUUGGUGCUGAGAUGAGACGAUACUUCAGAUUCGGAACGAUGACCAUUCAGAUAUUCUUAAAAUAUCUUCCGUUCCCUGUCACCUGAGUACUUGAUCAGACGACCAACCACUGGCGUGACAGCAUGCUACUUCCUCGUUCUCAGAGUGACAGGUCAACAGGACAUGUGUUAUGGUGGUUUGGAAUCAUUCGAGAGAAACAUUUGUGCUUUUUGUGAUUGGAACUACCAAGCUGCCUGAGAUGCUUUUCUGGACAGAAUUGGCGUACUGCUGCCUUGCAAGAUAUCUACUUAUUUCUUCGUGGAGUCAGCUACAACCAAGACGCAGAAAAACAAACAUGGUCAUUUUUAUGUGGCUCCACACAUUAUUUCCUGAAUGAACCACCUCAUUUCAUCCUGUUUCUGAACUUUGGACUGAGUCAUCGUCUCCUGAAGACAAGGUGGUCAGCGAUUAGACAGCGCCCUCUGGAGCAGCAUGCAUGACCUACAAGCACUGACGAUGCAUGGCCAGUGAAGUGUGACAUGUCCGUCUCUGGACUUCCUGCCAAAGUUGGAUUACGAUUCAAGUACUUCGUGAGGUUGAAGGGCAUCCCUCUACUUGCUGAUGCUGUAUGACAAUCAAGCCUGAACAAAAAAUGAGGGGUACCUGUUGGAUAAUGGUUAAUGAAAUGAGGAAGCCAAAGCCACAAAAGGUGAUAUCUACCUUUUCUGCGACAAAUGUAAAGAUUUCCCUGCGAGAAGUGUUUCUUUUAUGCGAGGACAAUGACAAGACAUGCAUCUAUCAGGCACUAUAAACAACAAUUUUGUGUUACUUAUAUUGCUGUAUAUUUGAUACUGAGUGAAAUAUAUCUGUUAUGUAUAUUUCGUUAAGAAGGGGACAUUCCUUUAACAAGCUUUAGGGACCUGAACAAGUCACAACCUUAUCAAUCCCUGUCAAUAAGACAAUCUUUAGAAAAAAACUGUUAAGAAGUUGGAGUUAAAAUUUUCGAUACAUAAAUAAUUUUGUCAUUGUCUUCAAUAUCAUUUUGUACCCGUGGCCACUGAUAAGUAAGGGGAGGCCAUCUGUUAAAUAAUUGCUGUAAGCUUACACUGUGAGAAUCAGCUUCAUCAUUGAAAUAUUUGGUACAGAUUGUUUAACAUCUUGUUGAAGUUUAUGUAUUAAAGCAAGCUUUUAAAUGAGUUGUGGUACAGCAUGUGAGAAGAUAACUUUCAGUUUUAACAUGAUUUAUUUUUAUUUCAUGAUUAACUAUAAUCGUGUAUAUGGAUUAGCUCCCUUUUCAUAUAGUUAGUGAAAUACAUUAUAUUAACACAGUUCCCAAUUAAAAAUGUGAUAAUUUGAGCAUGAAUUUAAAGCUUUUGUUGUGAAUGGCUUGAGUUUCUUGGAGGUAUUACAAAAGGUAGAUUAGCUUAUGCAUCACAUCUUAAAGAUGGCGCAGCUUGAGAAUGGUUCAAUGUUGCAGCAGUAAGUCACCUUCAGUUCUUACUACACACAAAAUGUCAUUUACUCUAUCUCUCUCAUCUACAUAUACCCUUGAAUUUAAGCAAAGAAACUUGUAUAUAAAUGAAUAGUUGUUGUUCCUUAUUGACCGGAAGAAAGAUUAAUUUUUUUUUUAGCUUUUUUACAUUUUAAUGAUUACUAUUCAUGAAAUCUCAAGCAUGACUUAAGCCCACAGACAGUACUUUGCUACACUGUACGAUAAGGGGUUAAUUUGGUUUAUGGGUAGGUAUUAAAGAACAGUUUAAGACAAGAAUUAAACAAUUAAAAAUUAUGUUAGGUGAAGUAAAGAUCACGAGGUAAAGAGUUUAAAAAGAUAUUAGAAAUAUUAAAUUUUUUUUAAAAGAUUUACAUGAGAUCUGAAGGCAAGUACCAUUAUUGCAAGAAGGCAAUAGAUUAAUAACUACUGCAAGUGUUCUUUUGCAUAAAUAUGGACUAAAAAUUAAAGAAUAAAAAGUCGAUUUUUCUUCUGCAUGUCAUGGAUACAAGCAGUGUAAAUGCACAUGACAUGUUCAUAUGUGUUCUUUCAGAUAACAAAAAACAAACACCUGCCUGUUGGUCUCCUGAAUAUUUAGACCAAAGGAAAUAAAGUUUGGCAUUUU